rnacentral:rRNA from 1 species
UACGGAGGGGGCUAGCGUUGUUCGGAAUUACUGGGCGUAAAGGGCGUGUAGGUGGUAAUGUAAGUCUGGCGUGAAAUUUUUCGGCUUAACCGGGAAAGGUCGUCGGAGACUGCAUAACUAGAGGACGGUAGAGGCGUGUGGAAUUCCGGGUGUAGUGGUGAAAUGCGUAGAGAUCCGGAGGAACACCAGUGGCGAAGGCGACACGCUGGGCCGUACCUGACACUGAGGCGCGAUAGCAUGGGGAGCAAACAGG